rnacentral:rRNA from 1 species
CAGCACCUCAAGUGGUCAGGAUGAUUAUUGGGCCUAAAGCAUCCGUAGCCGGCGCUGUAAGUUUUCGGUUAAAUCUGUACGCUCAACGUACAGGCUGCCGGGAAUACUGAAGCGCUAGGGAGUGGGAGAGGUAGACGGUACUCGGUAGGAAGGGGUAAAAUCCUUUGAUCUAUUGAUGACCACCUGUGGCGAAGGCGGUCUACCAGAACACGUCCGACGGUGAGGGAUGAAAGCUGGGGGAGCAAACCGGAUUAGAUACCCGAGUAGUCC